AAGAAAGGAGGUGUUUCUGACCAAACGAACAGUCGCUCGAAGCUGCCCGACAAAAUGACGAAACUCGCCAGCAAGGAGGUAGCCGCUCAACCCAAGGAAGGCGGUGGUCGAAAGACUGUCGUCAGCAACAAGGAGGAAGCCACUGGAGCAACUGGUCCUGUCUUAGCGCGGAAAGAGAGAGAUGUUGCAGGUCCUUCAUUCCAAUCUUCUGAAGAUGCUCCUCGAAAACUGAGGUCUUACAAAUAGUUUUUUCACACAUCAGCGUGUUUGUAUUAUAUUAGUAAACAAUGAUCCCACCAAAAGUUAUACAUGGUUAGUAAUGUUGAUCUGAACUCAACCUCUCUGUUGAAUGAAAUAUGUGAAAAAAUGUUCUCGUAAAAAAUAAAUUGUCAUUUUAAUUUGUAGAAAUUGCAUAUUAUGCUGCGACAAGUCUCUAAAGGUCUAUAUGAACAAUCGUAAUUUCAUUUAUAAAUUAUUUGAUGGAUAUAAUAAAAGCUGAAUCGCAUUAUUGAGAGAUCAAACGUAUAUAUUUUUAAUUAAAUCAUCUAAAUUAUGUCAUUUUUUUGCUAAAUCCUUGGGAGAAAUAAAUAGGAUAGUGCACUCUGAAACAAAUAAAUUAAAAAAGAAUUAGUAAAACUUAAGCAAAUUACUGCUAAACUCCGGUGGAACUACCCUGGUGCCACCUGAAUCCAGGCAACCAGGCUACGUGUCAAUCUCAAUAAACUAGAAAACCUAUUAUGGGAGGAUUAAGAUAUCUCUGCACUGCAUACCCUUGAGGUUGUGCAUGGGGGUCAUUAUUCUAGCUGUAAAUCAAGGGAUUGUGUGGUCAUAAUCAUUAAGACAAAAGCGGUAUUGAGGUUGAAAAUGAAUUUAAUUGGAAUAAAAGCUACACAUGCUUUAGGAGAAUAUACGUUGAUAUUUGUUCACUUUUAAGUUUAAAUCGUAAAAAAGCUGAUACACAAUAAAACUAAACUUGAAUCUGAA